rnacentral:rRNA from 1 species
CCGCGGUAAUACGAAGGGGGCUAGCGUUGUUCGGAUUUACUGGGCGUAAAGCGCGUGUAGGCGGGUCGUUAAGUUGGGGGUGAAAUCCCGGAGCUCAACUCCGGAACUGCCUCCAAAACUGGCGACCUGGAGCAAGAUAGAGGCGAGUGGAAUUCCGAGUGUAGAGGUGAAAUUCGUAGAUAUUCGGAGGAACACCAGUGGCGAAGGCGACUCGCUGGAUCUUUGCUGACGCUGAGACGCGAAAGCGUGG